rnacentral:snRNA from 1 species
AUCGCUUCUCGGCCUUUUGGCUAAGAUCAAGUGUAGAAGAUAAACACUUUAAAUGUAUUACAGAAAUUGGAGUCAGUAAAUACUU